rnacentral:rRNA from 1 species
UACGUAUUGGGCAAGCGUUGUCCGGAAUUAUUGGGCGUAAAGAGCGCGUAGGCGGUCCGAUAAGUCGGCUGUGAAAGUCCAGGGCUCAACCCUGGAAAGCCGGCCGAUACUGUCGGACUAGAGUCCGGAAGAGGCAAGUGGAAUUCCCGGUGUAGCGGUGAAAUGCGCAGAUAUCGGGAGGAACACCAAUUGCGAAGGCAGCUUGCUGGGACGGUACUGACGCUGAGGAGCGAAAGCGUGGGGAGCGAACAGG